GGCCUAACACAUGCAAGUCGAACGCGAAAGUCCUUCGGGAUGAGUAGAGUGGCGGACGGGUGAGUAACGCGUAGGAAUCUGCCCUGUAGUGGGGGAUAACCCGGGGAAACCCGGGCUAAUACCGCAUACGCCCCACGGGGGAAAGCGGGGGAUCUUCGGACCUCGCGCUACAGGAAGAGCCUGCGUCGGAUUAGCUAGUUGGUAGGGUAAAGGCCUACCAAGGCGACGAUCCGUAGCUGGUCUGAGAGGAUGAUCAGCCACACCGGAACUGAGACACGGUCCGGACUCCUACGGGAGGCAGCAGUGGGGAAUAUUGCGCAAUGGGCGAAAGCCUGACGCAGCCAUGCCGCGUGUGUGAAGAAGGCCUUCGGGUUGUAAAGCU
rnacentral:rRNA from 1 species